AUAUUUCGGAACAGAAUCUAGUUUCUUCGAUAUCAAUGUAAUCUAGUAAUCAUGAGAACUAGUUUACAUUGAUAUCGAAGGAACUAGAUUCUGUUCCGAAAUAU